CCUACGGGCGGCAGCAGUGGGGAAUAUUGGACAAUGGGGGGAACCCUGAUCCAGCCAUGCCGCGUGUGUGAAGAAGGCCCUCGGGUUGUAAAGCACUUUCAGUGAGGAAGAACGCCUGGUGGUUAAUACCCAUCAGGAAAGACAUCACUCACAGAAGAAGCACCGGCUAACUCCGUGCCAGCAGCCGCGGUAAUACGGAGGGUGCGAGCGUUAAUCGGAAUUACUGGGCGUAAAGCGCGCGUAGGUGGCUUGAUAAGCCGGUUGUGAAAGCCCCGGGCUCAACCUGGGAACGGCAUCCGGAACUGUCAAGCUAGAGUGCAGGAGAGGAAGGUAGAAUUCCCGGUGUAGCGGUGAAAUGCGUAGAGAUCGGGAGGAAUAGCAGUGGCGAAGGCGGCCUUCUGGACUGACACUGACACUGAGGUGCGAAAGCGUGGGUAGCAAACAGGAUUAGAUACCCUUGUAGUC
rnacentral:rRNA from 1 species